CUUGCUCCUCGAUUAAAGCUGACCACCAUCUUUAUCACUGUUGGAUUCCCGGUGACUAUAUCUUGUAUCUGGUCAACUUUGGACCUUUGAAGAGAAACAGAAAUGAGCCACAAACCAUUAACAGGAAAAAUUGACAGCUUUCAAGGCCAUGACCGUGAACUACAAGCACCAGCAGGGGGUCCUCCAUGUGAAACCAGGUCUUAUUAGUUUCUCCAUCCGACUACCACUCCAGCUGCGCCUACACAGAUUCCACAAUGACCAAGACCUCUAUCACUGCCAUACUUCUUCAGCAGCUACACGGGAACCGCGGGGUACCUGGACACAACAGGAUGACUAAGGCCAUGUUUGUCCUUAUCCACUACACAAGCCUUCCGGGACAUAGUGGAAAAACCUAAACCUUUUUAGUAGAGCAUCCUGCAAAUAAUGAAGCACAAGUGUUUGCCUGGCGUGAGGGGAACACCCUUAUUGGAUAGCUCAAGAUACGUAGAAAACAGCA